rnacentral:rRNA from 1 species
UACGAAGGGGGCAAGCGUUGUUCGGAUUUACUGGGCGUACAGGGAGCGUAGGCGGUUGGGUAAGCCCUCCGUGAAAUCUCCGGGCCCAACCCGGAAAGUGCGGAGGGGACUGCUCGGCUAGAGGACGGGAGAGGAGCGCGGAAUUCCCGGUGUAGCGGUGAAAUGCGUAGAGAUCGGGAGGAAGGCCGGUGGCGAAGGCGGCGCUCUGGAACAUUUCUGACGCUGAGGCUCGAAAGCGUGGGGAGCAAACAGG